rnacentral:rRNA from 2 species
CUGGUGUCAGCCGCCGCGGUAAUACCAGCACCUCGAGUGGUCAGGACGUUUAUUGGGCCUAAAGCAUCCGUAGCCGGCUUUGCAAGUCUUCGGUUAAAUCCACCUGCUCAACAGAUGGGCCGCUGGAGAUACUACAAAGCUAGGGAGUGGGAGAGGCAGACGGUAUUCAGUGGGUAGGGGUAAAAUCCUCUGAUCCAUUGAGGACCACCAGUGGCGAAGGCGGUCUGCCAGAACACGUUCGACGGUGAGGGAUGAAAGCUGGGGGAGCAAACCGGAUUAGAUACCCGGGUAGUCCCAGCUGUAAACGAUGCAAACUCGGUGAUGCAUUGGCUUAUGGCCAAUGCAGUGCCGCAGGGAAGCCGUUAAGUUUGCCGCCUGGGAAGUACGGACGCAAGUCUGAAACUUAAAG